CUGCAGAAGCUAACACCUACACAGAGAAGUCAAGCUGGUGCCUGCCGAGAGCCCUUACCUCUGGGGACUCAUGCUCAUGGUCCUGGCACACACUCUGUUUGUUACCCAGCUCCAAACUCUUCAGUGUACAAGAGUGACUUGUACACUGGGGCGAGAGUGACACAAAUCUUGUGGCAGUAAAUUAGCAUCUGAUUCAACUUAAGGCACACUCCAUGAGAUGGAACCUAUACUCAAUGCUGUUUAGGUGACCAAGAUCCUGAGACCAGACAGUCCAUGGGCACAGAGGAAAACCAAAUACUACUGCUCUGCUGAAGGAAUGUAGGCAAAAUGACUUCUAAUGGCAUUCUGCUGUACUCAUAGAUCUGUACCUUGCUCAACCAUUAUGAGAGAAGCUUCCUCCUGCUGCAGAUGGCAAUAAGUAGAGACCCACUGCCAAACAAUUUGCAGAGAGUGAGAAACCCUGGAACACUUAGCCCUCAAAGUGAUGCUUCUAUCAAAUCUCUCUCCUCAUGGCUCAAGGAACUCUGUGGAAGAGGAGGCAGAAAGAGUGUGAGAGCUGAGGAGAUGGAGGGCACCAAGCCAUCAAGGCCUUCUGGACACAACAGGGCUUGAGGCCCACAGGAUCUCACAGUGCUAGGGCAGCCUGCACAGGGCCUGCUUGAGUCUGCAACCAGAUGGGUUUACAGCUGAAAGAGUGAGUGGACAAAUGUCCUCACCUCUAGCCUAGAAGCUAUCUGCAAGCAAUAACCACUUAGGAAUAGAAAGACGGUUUUUUGGAACAGAGUGUCACUGGCGAAACAAACCAAUCUGCAGGACACAAAUCUACUGAUGCCACGUAUCAGCUGUCAGAAGAUACUGCCACGGUCUUAAGAGCCUCUGGAUGGGAUGUGUCACUGGGGUUUAGAGGGUUUCAGAAGAGAGAUUUGAUCUGUCCAUAAGGCUGUGGAGCAGAAGCAAAGUUCCUACAAGCCAGGCUCCUGAGGGACGAUGCUAGGCACCCACAGAACUCAGGCCUCUGACUCCAGAGUCACUGUCACUGACCAGUGGACCAGCUCCCAAGGAAUAAACAUCGACAUGGAGCAGCUGGAUUAACUCUUAAAGGAAAAGACAAGACUCUACAGUAUUCUUUGUGACAGAUGGGAUUGGCAUGUCUCCACGCAGGGGCCGAGGUUAGAAUCCAUCCUUUACAGAGCCCAUCAGAAAAGAAGCAUAGUAAUGUGGCAACUUAUUCUGAAAUUUGAAGAUUAUCUUCUAAUAUUCAUCGAUGAAAACCUUUAAAGCUCUGGCCUGUUUUUUUUAAAAAAAGCAAGUAGUCUGUCCACCUUCCCUCUUAUCAAGACAAAAAAAUAAAUCUGUUCUUUUAAUCAGUGUUCUGUGUAUAAAUCUGCAGAUUUAGUUGUAAAUG
rnacentral:lncRNA from 1 species